GACGUAGGGCGCAAGCGUUGUCCGGAUUUAUUGGGCGUAAAGAGCUCGUAGGCGGCUUGUCGCGUCGACUGUGAAAACCCGCAGCUUAACUGCGGGACUGCAGUCGAUACGGGCAGGCUAGAGUUCGGUAGGGGAGACUGGAAUUCCUGGUGUAGCGGUGAAAUGCGCAGAUAUCAGGAGGAACACCGGUGGCGAAGGCGGGUCUCUGGGCCGAUACUGACGCUGAGGAGCGAAAGCUAGGGGAGCGAAAGGG
rnacentral:rRNA from 1 species